rnacentral:rRNA from 1 species
UAUCGGGAGUGCCAUGGCCUGUCCCGAUGCGUCAUUUGCUUGUCCCAUCCAGGCGCCGUCUUGUGUUGUAGGGGUCGUUCGUCCCCCCUCCAGGCGACCGGUCCCGAUAGGCAGCCGGCGGCCAGCUGGUGCCCGUCCUAGAGCGUAUGGGGGUUUGUCAUUCGCUCGAAUAGCGCCAGACCGGGCGCCAGCCGACGUCUCCAACCAUUCUUGUUCAGGUUGACCUCGGAUCAGGUAUGGAUUCGCGCUGAACUUGAGCAUAUCAAUAAGCGGAGGAAAAGAAUCCAACGAGGAUUGCAUCAGUAACGGCGAUGCAAGCGGCAAGAGCUCAGAUGUGACAUCUGGUCACUCCGGAGUUCGAGUUGUAAUUUGCAGAGGAUGCUUCGGAUGAGGCCUCUGUUUAAGUGCCCUGGAACUGUCCGUCAGAGAGGGUGAGAAUACGGUCUGAGGCAGGGUGCCCGUGCCCGUGUGAAGCUCCUUAGACGAGUCGAGUUGUUUGGGAAUGCAGCUCAAAAUGGGUGGUAAAUUUCAUAUAAAGUUAAAUACCGGCCGGAGACCGAUAGCGCACAAGUAGAGUGAUAGAAAGAUGAAAAGCACUUUGAAAAGAGAGUUAAACAGCACGUGAAAUUGUUGAAAGGGAAGAGCUUGCAACCAGACUCGGCCUCUGGGUUCAGCCAGCUUUUGUGGUGGUGUACUUCCCCGGGUCCGGGCCAGCGUCGGUUUGGGCGGCCUGUCAAAGGCCCCAAGAAUGUAUGGUCCUCCGGGACUUCUUAUAGCCUGGGGUGCAAGGCGGCCAGCCUGGACCGAGGAACGCGCUUCGGCACGGACGCGGGGGUAAUGGUCGCAAACGACCCGUCUUGAAACACGGACCAAGGAGUCUAACAUCUACGCGAGUGUUCGGGUGUCAAACCCGUACGCGCAGUGAAAGCGAACGGAGGUGGGAGCCCCCCCGGGGCGCACCAUCGACCGAUCCUGAUGUCUUCGGAUGGAUUUGAGUACGAGCGUAGCUCUGGGGACCCGAAAGAUGGUGAACUAUGCCUGAAUAGGGUGAAGCCAGAGGAAACUCUGGUGGAGGCUCGCAGCGGUUCUGACGUGCAAAUCGAUCGUCAAAUUGGGCAUAGGGGCGAAAGAACUAAUCGAACCCUUUUUUCGG